rnacentral:rRNA from 1 species
UACAGAGGUCCCAAGCGUUGUUCGGAUUCAUUGGGCGUAAAGGGUGCGUAGGCGGCGCGGUAAGUCGGGUGUGAAAUCUCGGAGCUUAACUCCGAAACUGCAUUCGAUACUGCCGUGCUUGAGGACUGGAGAGGAGACUGGAAUUUACGGUGUAGCGGUGAAAUGCGUAGAUAUCGUAAGGAAGACCAGUGGCGAAGGCGGGUCUCUGGACAGUUCCUGACGCUGGGGCACGAAGGUCAGGGGAGCAAACGGG